rnacentral:lncRNA from 1 species
GUAGUGAGAACUAAAACAAGAUAAAAUUUGGCAUUCUUCAUAGUUUUCUAUUAUUCCCUUCUUGUCUUAUACUUAGUCCUUUAACCAUGUAAGGUGGAAUUUAUUGUUUAUUAAGUGAUAGAUAGAGAAGAAGAUAGGGGGAAAAAGUCCACUCGUAAUCAAAAGGAUGGACAUCUUAUGCCACUAUAUCCAACUGUCAUUGGCAUUUGAGCUUAGUAUUUACUCUUGGAACAUACUUAUGUAUAAUUCUGGUGAUUUUCCAUGUAUGCUUGUAAUUCUUUAAGUCACUUCUUCAUGCUUUCUAUACCCUGCUUUUUUAUUCUUAUUUUACAAUACUUUCUGAUAUAUAGGUUGAGCAUCCUGUACUAAAUGGAUGGAUAAGAUAAAUAUGUCAGUAAAACAAAUUGCAAUUGGGAUGAGUAUCCUAUGAAGCAU